UUUACUCUAUAGUUGUCACUGAGCUCUACUUCGACGCAUAGUAUCAAAUAAAGUAUGUGUCAAAUGAAACGCAGAGGAAUUCUACCAACCAAACAGCCAAUAAAGCCACCGUCCUAAGUUUUGCAUCUCAACUUGAAUCCUCCUUGCAACAACAAGAGAGAAGAAGGUGAAAGUUAAAACAACUGCGUCAUCACAAGCUAUGUCGUACGACACGAUUUCACACAGCGUAGUUUCGCUUGGAUGCUGUUUGACGUGAUAUUGCACAUCCAUUCUUAAAGAGAAUCCAUAAAGAUCCAACCUUAAAGAACGAACAUCUCGGACGGAAUUCGAUUAAAUUAUGUUUGAAUUACUAAGGACGACCACAGUUCUGAAAAUUCGAAUCUGUUUCGCUUGAGGAAGUGUCAGCAAAGAAAAAUGGCUUAGGACUUGUAUCAAAACAUUAAAUGACGUAACCACUAACAGAUGUUAGCAAUUUUAAUUUUCGAACGACGCCAGGGGUUCGGCAAAAAUCGUUUACUUAUCUAGAUUUCUACGUUGUUGCAAAGUCAAAAUUACGUCACUUUGACUCGUGUGUGUAGCACAUAUUGGACUUGUCAUCCAUCCGUCUCUACUACACCAUUAUCAGCAUUCUCAGCAAGAUAAAGGAAAGCUUGUGCAGUUUUUUAGAUAAGCGCUGUUCUACCGAUGUAAAAUGCUCUGUCACCAUUGAUUUCAAAAUCACUUCUUUUUCACAGUCGUCUCUGGCUGACAUCGUUUUUUUUCAACUUAUUCAUAAUGAAAGAUGGGUAUUACUAGUCUAUUAUUCAUUGCUGGCUAAAUAUUGUUGCGUUCGUUGUUUUCAAGCAGCCUCCCAAAUUUGUCCUUUCCAAUACAUUUAAGGUGGAACAGAGUAGCGAUUUCUAUUUCUCGUCAUUAUGGACGUGCGACCUUGUCCCUUCCCAAAAGUAGCGAAGAGAGAAUACGUGAUUUAAAGCUAUCCCAUGCAUGUUGUACUCGAUUUUUGCGUUCAAUAUUUGGGUUAUAAGGAUAGGCAAGGUCCUUUGAUCUAAAAACUAACAUUUUCUUUGGAAGGAAGGGCGUGGUUUGUAAUUGAAACUGGGACUACAGGGUCUGUUAGAAUCGGGAUAAAAUAUUUUAAGAAGAAACUGACGCAAAUGGUUGCAUGAAACGUUCUAAUGAAUCCCUUUCCCCGUGACGGAAGCUAAUCAAAAUCACCAAUUCUGAUGCUGAUUGCCGCUCACCUGUCAGAAACGUACCUGCCCUGUUUUACUUAAAUUUGUUUGUUGAUAACAAAUUCAAGUGAUCUUCGUCAACACACAUGCGAGUUCAAAUACUUGUAAAACUAGCAAAGUUAUAGUUUGGUGGCCAUUGAACCGCUGGGACAUCGAUGAUUCACUCAACUAUAACUGACAUUGGGCGGAUGCUUGCAACUUUACUUUCGUUCGAGCCGUGAUUUCGCCUUGUUCGCAAACUCACGCAAUCUUGUAUGGACAAUUGGACAUGGCGAGUUAAUAAAUCAAUGCGCUGGCUUGUAAUCCAGUUAUUUUGAAAGCAUCCUUCGUACGAGUUCUGCAAGCAAAACAGACAACAGGUAAAUGUCAGUAGCCGUUAAUGACGCUGUUCACUUCCUCUCACUAAAUUUUCUAAUUGAGUUGAGUAUACGCGCAAAAGGAUGGGAAAGAAGAAAUCGAUAGUGACAUUGUUGACACUUAAAAAAGACGGGAAAAAUCGAACGGGGUUGUUUUUUUUCUCUACUUAGUCAUCCAUGUUGUUGUCAAGCGAGAAGAUCCGAACUCAGGGUCCCUUCGAUUUAACGUCACGAUGCCCUACAAAGUCUCACUCACUUAUUACGUACAUCAGAUAUUUUCCGGUUACUUACGCACGUAUCCAAAGACUUUCGUUGGAGUCCUGAUUAUCACGAAAAAUAAUACAGACAUGUACGCGGCAAUGAGGCAGAGAGAGGGAGAGAGACUGAGCCGAUACAAUAUUGUACUUAAUCCGCCAGUUUUGGAUCUUGGAGGGUCAUCUUGCCAUGUAACUUUUGGGACCCCAAUUUUGUUCGUCAUCUUGCAACGUCACAUCAGAUGACGCAAUAAAAAAAAUCCAAUUAUUUAUUCAUUUUGCUUAUUAUCGAUGUGCCUGUCAGUUCUCUGUUGGUUAGCGGGGUACUUAUUUGGGAAUCAGCUUUCCUAUUUCUAUCUGAUUGCGUUAAUCUUCUUAUGCCUCCUUUGCGUCAUCGAGUUGCAAUUGUGUACAAUUUUUGACUCGAGUCCGGAUGACAUUAGUGGAAGGAAGAACGAAAUGGAUACAGCUAUAUGCUAACGUAUAACUGAACAUGAAACAGAACAGGCACCAGUUGAUCGGCAUGUAAAGGUCCGAUCCCAGUCACUGGGUAUCCUUUUGACAAUUGGAUUAGCAACGGGACUGGCAAUCUACUUGCAUUUUACUAUAGAGAGAGAGACAGAGGUUUGCCUGUACUUGCAUCGACAUGGAAACUCAUUCCACGUUGCUACUCCAUCAGCUCCGGCCGACUUUUCGUGAGGGGGGUUUAGUUCGUCAGAAAAAAACUUGUCCGUCUUUCGUUCAGUGUCCAGCAGUUUCCAUAAUUAGUGAUUCAAUGGUGAAUGAUUGUCUGCUGACUUGGUCAAGUUUUUUUACAUCAAACAUUUGAUUUCGUAAAAAAAAAAAAAAAAAAUCAAGUACCAAUUAUGCCAAGCAAUAAUUUCGGAUGGAGUUUGUCCGACACUGUGGAAAAUCCUCGACGGACAGGCUUGGCUAAUUUCCGAUACAAGCUUCUACAAUACCAGUCUAAUGUCCACGAGAUCCGAUGACGAUGAAGACCUGCCGGCUAAGACCCAGCACCGUCUCGUAUCGGAUGAAACGACUGCACAUGGACUAGUCAAUGGCUCGUCCGUUUUCCCAUUCAGCCGACCGGUGAAACCUUAUUACAGACGUGAAAAUUCCGUUUCUCAGUGCUCCGACAGUUGUUUCGGCUCCGACUACCCAUCGCUCACUAGCACAGGUUCACCUCGAGCCGGAAAUCCUUGAAAUGAACACGGAACGUGCGAGACCUUGGAUCAACUUAUCAGAAGCGAAUCAAUCGACGGGUUGGACGGCGACGACGGACGACGUGCCUCGUACGCCGUCGGGACCCCGUCGACGACGUCGACUGACGUCUGGCGAGGUUCCAUUCAUUACGCCAAGGCGGUGAUGGAACGCCGUGAGGGAGAGAUGUCCAGUAUGUUCGACCAGCUGCACGAAAUCGAAGAUGACUUGACGUCGAUGAACAAUCAGGUCGGAAAGGUCAGCCACACACUGCAGCAAUGCAGCCAACGACGGCGGCUGGUUCGAGCUCCUCGUGCCACAUCAUCCCUUUAUCAAUCUCAAUCCGUCUCUUCGUUGAAUAGUCAGCAAAACUCGUCGCCCUUUUCUUCUUUCACGAGUCAACAACAAAGACGAUCGAAUUGCUCCUGGUCCUGCCGUAAUCUCGACAGUCUUACCGAAGACGAAAUGGCUGAUAUUGUCCAUCGACUUUUGACACGAAUCUGUGAAUUUACUUUGGCCCGUCAGGAAGGCCGGAAAGAUAUUCCUUUAAUUGUUUAAAGUAUUUACUUGAUUGUAUUUAUUUUUUUUUACUGAACAACUAAAUUCCGUUAAUUUAUUAUAGAGUGCAAAUUCUUGUUAAUUGAGCAACAAUAUUCGUGUUUCUUUUUCUGCGCUGCUUCCUGUUCGUUCAAUUAUUUUACGUUUUUAAAUCAUGGCAUAACAAGUACCUGUGAGCCUGGUGGCUUGUCCAAAUAAUACCCAACUAAAAUAAAUAUCAUUCGAUGGUUGCGUCCUCAA